rnacentral:rRNA from 1 species
GACGAACGCUGGCGGCGUGCUUAACACAUGCAAGUCGAACGAUGAAGCUGGAGCUUGCUCCGGUGGAUUAGUGGCGAACGGGUGAGUAACACGUGAGCAAUCUGCCCUUGACUCUGGGAUAACUGCGGGAAACUGUAGCUAAUACCGGAUACGAGGCUCGAAGGCAUCUUCGGGUCUGGAAAGAAUUUCGGUCAAGGAUGAGCUCGCGGCCUAUCAGCUUGUUGGUGAGGUAAUGGCUCACCAAGGCGACGACGGGUAGCCGGCCUGAGAGGGUGACCGGCCACACUAGGACUGAGACACGGCCCAGACUCCUACGGGAGGCAGCAGUGGGGAAUAUUGCACAAUGGGCGCAAGCCUGAUGCAGCAACGCCGCGUGAGGGAUGACGGCCUUCGGGUUGUAAACCUCUUUUAGCAGGGAAGAAGCGAAAGUGACGGUACCUGCAGAAAAAGCACCGGCUAACUACGUGCCAGCCGCCGCAGUAA